GUGAGGUAACGGCUCACCAAGGCUUCGACGGGUAGCUGGUCUGAGAGGACGAUCAGCCACACUGGGACUGAGACACGGCCCAGACUCCUACGGGAGGCAGCAGUGGGGAAUCUUGCACAAUGGGCGAAAGCCUGAUGCAGCAACGCCGCGUGAGGGACGAAGGCUUUCUGAGUUGUAAACCUCUUUCAGCAGGGACGAUUGUGACGGUACCUGCAGAAGAAGCCCCGGCCAACUACGUGCCAGCAGCCGCGGUAAUACGUAGGGGGCAAGCGUUGUCCGGAUUUAUUGGGCGUAAAGAGCUCGUAGGCGGCUUGGCAAGUCGGAUGUGAAACCUCCAGGCUCAACCUGGAGUCGCCAUUCGAUACUGCCAUGGCUAGAGUUUGGUAGGGGACCACGGAAUUCCUGGUGUAGCGGUGAAAUGCGCAGAUAUCAGGAGGAACACCAGCGGCGAAGGCGGUGGUCUGGGCCAAUACUGACGCUGAGGAGCGAAAGCGUGGGGAGCGAACAGGAUUAGAUACCCUGGUAGUCCACGCCGUAAACGUUGGGCACUAGGUGUGGGGACCUAUCGACGGUUUCUGUGCCGCAGCUAACGCAUUAAGUG
rnacentral:rRNA from 1 species